UACGAAGGGGGCUAGCGUUGUUCGGAAUUACUGGGCGUAAAGCGCGCGUAGGCGGUUUUGCAAGCCAGAGGUGAAAUGCCUGAGCUCAACUUAGGAAUUGCCUUUGGGACUGCGAGGCUUUGAGGACUGGAGAGGUGAGUGGAAUUCCCAGUGUAGAGGUGAAAUUCGUAGAUAUUGGGAAGAACACCAGUGGCGAAGGCGGCUCACUGGCCCAUAACUGACGCUGGGCGACGAAAGCGUGGGGAGCAAACAGG
rnacentral:rRNA from 1 species